rnacentral:lncRNA from 1 species
GCUGGUCUGACUCCAUCAGAUCCUCAGUCUCCAGGAGUUCCAGCUGGACAAUCUAUCCUCCCUGCUUUUCCAGUUACCGGCUCCACCAGGUCCCGCGCCACCACUCCAGCCAGCGCCAGUUCCAGCGGUGGUCCCAGAGGUCGCACCGCAUCCUGUUCCAGUGCUGGUCCCGGAGGUCGCACCGCAUCCAGUUCCAGCGGUGGUCCCAGAGGUCGCACCGCAUCUGGUCAAGCCUGUCCAAGCGGUCCCAUCUGCAGCAACUCCUCCUCCACUCCAGAAGCCGGCAGUCCAGAAGCCGGCAGUCCAGAAGCCGGCAGUCCAGAAGCCGGCGGUCCAGAGACCAGCGGUCCAGAAGUCGACGCCCCCGAAUCAGAAGUCGACACCCGCAGAUCAGAAGUCGAGGCCCCAGGACCAGAAGUCGACAGUCCAGAAGUCGACGGUACAGAAGUUGACAGACCAGAAGUUGACACCCCCGGACCAGAAAUCAACGGUCCAGAAGCCGACGGUCCAGAAGCCGACGGUCCAGAAGUUGACACCCCCGGACCAGAAAUCAACGGUCCAGAAGUCGACGGUCCAGAAGCCGACGCCUCCAGACCAGGAAUCGACGCCCCGGACCAGAAGUCGAUGGAGGACGAUGCCCCCAGUCCUGUGGUCGACACCCCUUCCAAUCCUGUGGUCGACCCCCUUCCAGUCCUGUGGUCGAUGCCCCUUCCAGUCCUGUGGUCGAUGCCCCUUCCAGUCCAGAGGUCGACGCUCUCUCCAGUCCGGAGGUCGACGCUCUCUCCAGUCCGGAGGUCGACGCUCCCUCGUGUCCGAAGGUCGACGCUCCCUCGUGUCCGAAGGUCGACGCUCCCUCGUGUCCGAAGGUCGAUGCUCUUUCCAGUCCAGAGGCCGGCGCUCUUUCCAGUCCAGGGGCCGGCGCUCUUUCCAGUCCAGAGGCCGACGCUCUUUCCAGUCCAGAGGUCGACGCUCCCUCGUGUCCAGAGGGCGACGCUCCCUCGUGUCCAGAGGUCGACGCUCCCUCGUGUCCAGAGGUCGACGCUCCCUCGUGUCCAGAGGUCGACGCUCCUUCGUGUCCAGAGGUCGGCGUGCCCUCCGUGUCCAGAGGCCGGCGUCUCCCCCUCCAGUCCAGAGGCCGGCGUCUCCCCCUCCAGUCCAGAGGCCGGCGUCUCCCCCUCCAGUCCAGAGGCCGGC